rnacentral:lncRNA from 1 species
UGUACAAACAAUGGAGUUUUGAAGAGUAAAUUUUAGAGUAAAUGAGCCUGUGUACUCUGCCAAUGGAUUUUUUAGGAGCAAGUCUCACCUGAGAAAAACUACAUAUGAAAAAAUGAAAAAAAGUAAAUGUAAUCUUUAUUUUUCAAUAAAGAAUUAAAGUAAAUGAAUAGAAACAAAGUGUAGAACAGCUAAGGAUGUGAAUCCAUGUUAUCCGUAAAUAAUUUUCAAUCUGCUCUUUCGCAGUUGCCUUUUUCGUUCGUCGUCCUCAUUGACACAACAUAGCUACUACAAUCACAGAUGAAAGUAUGA